rnacentral:hammerhead_ribozyme from 1 species
AUCCAGCUGACGAAUCCCAAAUAGGAUGAAACGCGCAUUUUAGAU